rnacentral:lncRNA from 1 species
UUAUGAAUAGGUUUAAAAUCUUUGCUUGACAGGUUACUUAUGUCAGCUUAUUUUCUCACUUUGUUUUAGUGGCAAAGAAGAAUAAGUAAUUAAAAUUUCACAGUAAGUUUUGCUUACUGAUUUACUGAUGAAAACAAUGUUGACAUGCUGUGCUGAAGUGUGGGUUCAAGUGAAGAGGAAACUGUUCAAGUAAUGGGCCAGUGAGCAGCAUACUAUUCAAACAGUUUCAGACCUGCAUAAAGAAGAGGAAGAUGGCAUAACAAGAAAUUAGACAACGUUGAAAGUAACUUGCAUGAUCAGCAAGUGGCCAGCAGCCUCUCUGAUGCUGUCUGGGAAAAAAGGUGCUGUGAAUGGAGCUGCUCCAAACUGCAUGGCUCUGUAGUCAUCUCCUGUCUGGAUCAAAU